AACGAACGCUGGCGGCAGGCUUAACACAUGCAAGUCGAACGCCCCGCAAGGGGAGUGGCAGACGGGUGAGUAACACGUGGGAACAUGCCCAAAGGUACGGAAUAUUCUCGGGAAACUGAGAGCAAUACCGUAUGUGCCCGAAAGGGGAAAGAUUUAUCGCCUUUGGAUUGGCCCGCGUCGGAUUAGCUAGUUGGUGGGGUAAAAGCCUACCAAGGCGACGAUCCGUAGCUGGUCUGAGAGGACGACCAGCCACACUGGGACUGAGACACGGCCCAGACUCCGACGGGAGGCAGCAGUGGGGAAUCUUGGACAAUGGGCGCAAGCCUGAUCCAGCCAUGCCGCGUGGAUGAUGAAGGCCCUAGGGUUGUAAAAUCCUUUCGUUGGGGACGAUAAUGACGGUACCCAAAGAAGAAGCUCCGGCUAACUUCGUG
rnacentral:rRNA from 1 species